UGAGGAAUAUUGGGCAAUGCCCGCAAGGGUGACCCAGCAACGCCGCGUGGAGGAUGAAUGUCGUAAGAUUGUAAACUCCUGUUAGAGGGGAAGAAUAGUACCGGUUGGACCGGUAUAUGACUGUACCCUCAGAGAAAGCCCCGGCUAACUACGUGCCAGCAGCCGCGGUAAUACGGAGGGUGCAAGCGUUAAUCGGACUUACUGGGCGUAAAGCGUGCGCAGGCGGUUUGUUAAGUCUGCUGUGAAAUCCCCGAGCUCAACUUGGGAAUUGCAGUGGAUACUGGCAAGCUGGAGUACGGUAGAGGAAGGUGGAAUUCCCGGUGUAGCAGUGAAAUGCGUAGAGAUCGGGAGGAACACCAGUGGCGAAGGCGGCCUUCUGGACCAGUACUGACGCUCAUGCACGAAAGCGUGGGGAGCAAACA
rnacentral:rRNA from 1 species